ensembl:snRNA U6 U6 spliceosomal RNA
GUGCUCACUUCAGUAGCACAUAUACUAAAAUUGCAACAAUACAGAGAAGAUUAGCAUGGCCCCUGUGUAAGGAAUGUUUUAAGCACACCAAUUAAACAUCAACUCAAAUU